rnacentral:rRNA from 1 species
UACAGAGGUCUCAAGCGUUGUUCGGAUUCAUUGGGCGUAAAGGGUGCGUAGGCGGCGCGGUAAGUCGGGUGUGAAAUCUUGGAGCUUAACUCCGAAACUGCAUUCGAUACUGCCGUGCUUGAGGACUGGAGAGGAGACUGGAAUUUACGGUGUAGCGGUGAAAUGCGUAGAUAUCGUAAGGAAGACCAGUGGCGAAGGCGGGUCUCUGGACAGUUCCUGGACGCUGAGGCACGAAGGCCCAGGGGAGCAAACGGG